rnacentral:rRNA from 1 species
CCCUUUGAUACUCUGGGCGGUACGCGCGCUACACUGGUUUAUAUAACGUGUAAUUUGGACGGUAGUCUGUAUAAAUCACUAAUAUAAAACCGUGAAUGGGAUAGUUUAUUGCAACUUACAAACUUUAACUAGGAAUCCCUUGUAGAAGUAGUGAAUUAUACUGCUUCGAAUACGUCCCUGCCGAUUGUACACACCGCCCGUCGUUUCUUCCGACUGGUACUCAUUGUGAAUUGCGAGGAGAUUCUGUCAAAUCGUUGUAAAUGCUGGGUAUUGGAGGAAGAAAAAGUCGUAACA